rnacentral:lncRNA from 1 species
GGGGUGUCCAGCUUAUGUUAAAUGAUUACAAACUAACAAGCUCAGUUCUCAGUCCGAUAAGUGUAAUUUUGUACGGUACCCCAAGAAAAUGAGGGGAUAUUACUUUUACUUGCCUGUUAAACAAAAGGUGUUUGUCAGCAGUAAGGCACAUUUUUUGGAAAAAAAUUCUUUAGUGAAGGAAUAAAUGCCUCUAAAAUCGAGCUUGACGAAGUUCAAUAGGUAAAAGAACUGACACCAAUGAUUGAAUUUGAACCAGAUUUGAUGAGAUCAAAUUUGGAGCCCAAUGAAUAAACAUCCUUAAGCAAUCCGAUAAAGUA